rnacentral:rRNA from 1 species
AACGAACGCUGGCGGCAGGCUUAACACAUGCAAGUCGAGCGCCCCGCAAGGGGAGCGGCAGACGGGUGAGUAACGCGUGGGAACCUACCCUUUCCUGCGGAACAACUCCGGGAAACUGGAGCUAAUACCGCAUACGGCCUUUGGGCGAAAGAUUUAUCGGGGAAGGAUGAGCCCGCGUUGGAUUAGCUAGUUGGUGGGGUAAAGGCCUACCAAGGCGACGAUCCAUAGCUGGUCUGAGAGGAUGAUCAGCCACACUGGGACUGAGACACGGCCCAGACUCCUACGGGAGGCAGCAGUGGGGAAUAUUGGACAAUGGGCGCAAGCCUGAUCCAGCCAUGCCGCGUGAGUGAUGAAGGCCCUAGGGUUGUAAAGCUCUUUCACCGGUGAAGAUAAUGACGGUAACCGGAGAAGAAGCCCCGGCUAACUUCGUGCCAGCAGCCGCGGUAAAAC